GAACGCACCUUGCACCCUUUGGCAUUCCGAAGGGUAUGCUCGUUUGAGUGUCAUUGUACUCUCACACUCCCACUCUUUUGGAUUGGGAGCGGUGGACUUGGGUGUUGCUGCUUUACGGUGGCUCACCUCAAAUGGAGUAGUGCAACUCUCGGUUGGACAUAGUACGGCGUGAUAAGUAUCUUCGCCGGCGCCUCACUCGAGGGUGGCCGAUCGGGAGCUCUGUGCUUCAAACCGUCUUCGGACAAUCUCUGACAACUUGACCUCAAAUCGAGUAGGACUACCCGCUGAACUUA
rnacentral:misc_RNA from 1 species